AUUGAACGCUGGCGGCAAGCCUAACACAUGCAAGUCGAACGAGUGGCGGACGGGUGAGUAAUGUCUGGGAAACUGCCUGCUGGAGGGGGAUAACUACUGGAAACGGUAGCUAAUACCGCAUACCAUCGGAUGUGCCCAGAUGGGCUUAGCUAGUAGGUGGGGUAAAGGCUCACCUAGGCGACGAUCCCUAGCUGGUCUGAGAGGCUGACCAGCCACACUGGAACUGCGACAGGGACCAGACGCAUACGGGAGGCAGCAGAGGGGAAUAUUGCACAAUGGGCGCAAGCCUGAUGCAGCCAUGCCGCGUGUAUGAAGAAGGCCUUCGGGGUGUAAAGUACUUUCAGCGGGGAGGCGUUACCCGCAGAAGAAGCACCGGCUAACUCCGUGCCAGCCGCCGCGGUAAUAC
rnacentral:rRNA from 1 species